rnacentral:rRNA from 1 species
GAUGAACGCUGGCGGCGUGCCUAAUACAUGCAAGUCGAGCGAACAGACGAGGAUCUUGUUCCUCUGUCGUUUGCGGCGGACGGGUGUGUCACACGUGGAUAACCUACUUAUCUGACUGGGAUAACUUCGGAAAACCGGCUCUAAUACCAUAUCAUAUAUUGAACCGCAUGGUUCAAUGGUUAAAUUCGGCUUUGCUGUAUCUUCUCGCUGCUUCCGGGCUGGAUUGGCUAGUUGGUAAGGUAACGGCCUACCAAGGCGACGAUGCGUAGCCGACCUGAGAGGGUGAUCGGCCACACUGGAACUGAGACACGGUCCAGACUCCUACGGGAGGCAGCAGUAGGGAAUCUUCGGCAAUGGGCGAAAGCCUGACGGAGCAACGCCGCGUGAGUGAUGAAGGUCUUCGGAUCGUAAAACUCUGUUAUUAGGUAAGAACAGAUGUGGAAGUAACCAUGGACGGCUUGACGGUACCUAAUCAGAAAGCCACGGCUAACUACGUG